rnacentral:rRNA from 1 species
UACGUAGGUGGCAAGCGUUGUCCGGAUUUACUGGGUGUAAAGGGCGUGUAGCCGGGUUGACAAGUCAGAUGUGAAAUCCUGCGGCUUAACCGCAGAACUGCAUUUGAAACUGUUGAUCUUGAGUACUGGAGAGGCAGACGGAAUUCCUAGUGUAGCGGUGAAAUGCGUAGAUAUUAGGAGGAACACCAGUGGCGAAGGCGGCUUACUGGACGAUGACUGACGUUGAGGCUCGAAAGCGUGGGGAGCAAACAGG